rnacentral:rRNA from 1 species
ACUUUGGUUCUAUUUUGUUGGUUUCUAGGACCAGAGUAAUGAUUAAUAGGGAUAGUUGGGGGCAUUAGUAUUUCAUUGUCAGAGGUGAAAUUCUUGGAUUUAUGAAAGACUAACUUCUGCGAAAGCAUUUGCCAAGGAUGUUUUCAUUAAUCAAGAACGAAAGUUAGGGGAUCGAAGACGAUUAGAUACCGUCGUAGUCUUAACCAUAAACUAUGCCGACUAAGGAUCGGACGAUGUUAUUUUGGACUCGUUCGGCACUUUAUGAGAAAUCAAAGUGUUUGGGCUCUGGGGGGAGUACGGUCGCAAGGCUGAAACUUAAAGGAAUUGACGGAAGGGCACCACCAGGAGUGGAGCCUGCGGCUUAAUUUGACUCAACACGGGGAAACUCACCAGGUCCAGACAUAGGAAGGAUUGACAGAUUGAGAGCUCUUUCUUGAUUCUAUGGGUGGUGGUGCAUGGCCGUUCUUAGUUGGUGGAGUGAUUUGUCUGGUUAAUUCCGAUAACGAACGAGACCUUAACCUGCUAAAUAGUUGUGCAAACCACGUGUUUGUGAUGACUUCUUAGAGGGACUACGGAUGUUUAAUCCGUGGAAGUUUGAGGCAAUAACAGGUCUGUGAUGCCCUUAGAUGUUCUGGGCUGCACGUGCGCUACACUGAUGAAGGCAGCGGGUUGUACCUUGGCCCGAGAGGUCCGGGGAAUCUUGUAAACUUUAUCGUGC